CACGUAGGGCGCGAGCGUUGUCCGGAAUUAUUGGGCGUAAAGAGCUCGUAGGCGGCCUGUUGCGUCCGCUGUGAAAGCCCGGGGCUUAACCCCGGGUCUGCAGUGGAUACGGGCAGGCUAGAGGUAGGUAGGGGAGAAUAGAAUUCCCGGUGUAGCGGUGAAAUGCGCAGAUAUCGGGAGGAACACCGGUGGCGAAGGCGGUUCUCUGGGCCUUACCUGACGCUGAGGAGCGAAAGCGUGGGGAGCGAACAGG
rnacentral:rRNA from 1 species